UCCAGGUAGACUGGAAGCACAUUUGGUGGU
rnacentral:piRNA from 1 species